rnacentral:rRNA from 1 species
CCUACGGGGGGCAGCAGUGGGGAAUAUUGGACAAUGGGGGCAACCCUGAUCCAGCCAUGCCGCGUGUGUGAAGAAGGCCCUCGGGUUGUAAAGCACUUUCAGUGAGGAAGAACGCCUGGUGGUUAAUACCCAUCAGGAAAGACAUCACUCACAGAAGAAGCACCGGCUAACUCCGUGCCAGCAGCCGCGGUAAUACGGAGGGUGCGAGCGUUAAUCGGAAUUAUUGGGCGUAAAGCGCGCGUAGGUGGCUUGAUAAGCCGGUUGUGAAAGCCCCGGGCUCAACCUGGGAACGGCAUCCGGAACUGUCAAGCUAGAGUGCAGGAGAGGAAGGUAGAAUUCCCGGUGUAGCGGUGAAAUGCGUAGAGAUCGGGAGGAAUACCAGUGGCGAAGGCGGCCUUCUGGACUGACACUGACACUGAGGUGCGAAAGCGUGGGUAGCAAACAGGAUUAGAUACCCGGGUAGUC